rnacentral:rRNA from 1 species
CCUUUCGGGGUUAGUGGCGGACGGGUGAGUAUCGCGUAGGGAUUUAUCGUUGGGUGGGGGAUAACCUUGGGAAACUGGGGCUAAUACCGCAUGACGCCUGUGGGCCAAAGUUGUAAUGGCGCCUGACGAGAAGCCUGCGUCCGAUUAGCUAGUUGGUGGGGUAAAGGCCUACCAAGGCUACGAUCGGUAGCUGGUCUGAGAGGAUGAUCAGCCACACUGGGACUGAGACACGGCCCAG